rnacentral:rRNA from 1 species
UACGUAGGGCGCAAGCGUCGUCCGGAAUUAUUGGGCGUAAAGAGCUCGUAGGCGGCCUGUUGCGUCCGCUGUGAAAUCCCGGGGCUUAACCCCGGGCGUGCAGUGGAUACGGGCUGGCUAGAGGCAGGCAGGGGAGAACGGAAUUCCCGGUGUAGCGGUGAAAUGCGCAGAUAUCGGGAGGAACACCGGUGGCGAAGGCGGUUCUCUGGGCCUGUUCUGACGCUGAGGAGCGAAAGCUAGGGGAGCAAACAGG